CGGACGGGUGAGUAACACGUGGAUAACCUACCUAUAAGACUGGGAUAACUUCGGGAAACCGGAGCUAAUACCGGAUAAUAUAUUGAACCGCAUGGUUCAAUGGUGAAAGACGGUUUUGCUGUCACUUAUAGAUGGAUCCGCGCCGCAUUAGCUAGUUGGUAAGGUAACGGCUUACCAAGGCAACGAUGCGUAGCCGACCUGAGAGGGUGAUCGGCCACACUGGAACUGAGACACGGUCCAGACUCCUACGGGAGGCAGCAGUA
rnacentral:rRNA from 1 species